CAGUCGACGGUAGCACAGAGGAGCUUGCUCCUUGGGUGACGAGUGGCGGACGGGUGAGUAAUGUCUGGGAAACUGCCCGAUGGAGGGGGAUAACUACUGGAAACGGUAGCUAAUACCGCAUAACGUCGCAAGACCAAAGAGGGGGACCUUCGGGCCUCUUGCCAUCGGAUGUGCCCAGAUGGGAUUAGCUAGUAGGUGGGGUAACGGCUCACCUAGGCGACGAUCCCUAGCUGGUCUGAGAGGAUGAACGGCCACAUUGGGACUGAGACACGGCCCAGACUCCUACGGGAGGCAGCAGUGGGGAAUCUUCCGCAAUGGACGAAAGUCUGACGGAGCAACGCCGCGUGAGUGAUGACGGCCUUCGGGUUGUAAAGCUCUGUUAAUCGGGACGAAAGGCCUUCUUGCGAAUAGUGAGAAGGAUUGACGGUACCGGAAUAGAAAGCCACGGCUAACUACGUGCCAGCAGCCGCGGUAAUACGUAGGUGGCAAGCGUUGUCCGGAAUUAUUGGGCGUAAAGCGCGCGCAGGCGGAUAGGUCAGUCUGUCUUAAAAGUUCGGGGCUUAACCCCGUGAUGGGAUGGAAACUGCCAAUCUAGAGUAUCGGAGAGGAAAGUGGAAUUCCUAGUGUAGCGGUGAAAUGCGUAGAUAUUAGGAAGAACACCAGUGGCGAAGGCGACUUUCUGGACGAAAACUGACGCUGA
rnacentral:rRNA from 1 species